UUCUAAUAUUGCCUACAUAAAUAUAUGUUGUUCGAUUAUUGUAAGCGGUUUUAGAAUUUUGAUCAGUAAUAUAUUUGUUUUCGUUUUUGAAAUAUUAUCUUCUUCAUGUCUUUUUUCUUGCUUGCUAUGCUUCUUCUUUCUCAACACGGUUUAGACCUGCACUAGAAUUUAAGAAAAACACCGACCGUCCCUAGAGCAAGUGGCAAAGGGCUUGGUGGUUGGUACCUGAGGUCCCAAGUUCGAAUCCUAGUUGAUUCACAUUGCUAACAAGUUUAUUUCUAAAUGAAAUAAACAAAAGCGGGUAGCGUGCUAACUAUCUCUCAAAAAAAAAAAAAAAAUCUAAGAGAAAUUUUUGUUCUCUUAAAGGAGCUAGCAUUCUGUUUUGUGGCGAAAUGUCAAGUUGAAUCGAAUCACGUUCGAAAUGGCAGAAGGUCAUGUAGGACAAAAUCAUGUUCGAAGCAGUAGAAAAUUAACUGAGUCGAAUUACAAUCAAGAAUGUUGUGUUUGCAUACUUUGAGAAAAUUAAUUGUAAUUUUUUAAAAG
rnacentral:lncRNA from 1 species